rnacentral:lncRNA from 1 species
UGAUGUUGGUUCAAGGGAUACAAGAACGUGUAAGCCUGGGCUGGUGUUCAACCAGCCAAGAGCACAACAGAGGACUCGCUUGCCUCCUUGUGGCAAGCCCUGAGCAGAGAAUGAAUGCUCGAAGCACACCCGGGUCUUUCGAAGCAAAUGAGUUUAACCAACCGACGGCACUUUGAGUUUAUACAGGAGCUGCGAAACGGCUGUGCAUGUAGAAGGAUCUGUAAAUGUGUACACUACACGGAGAAAAGGAAAAGUUUAGGCGUUUUGCUGUUGUAAAUUUGUAAUCAUGACAGUGUUAUCAGCUAAUGUUAUACUAAAAGCAUAGUUGAAUUGAACUGUGCAGUCUAUGCUUCCACAUUUGAAGUUUUAUAAGAGGAGAGGCUGCCCCUAUUGUGGCUUUCAUCUCAACCACGCUGCCAUGUUUACUUGUGAUUGUUGCGUAGCCUUACUGCUUCUCC